rnacentral:piRNA from 1 species
UCCAUUUUCAGCUAGCUAUAGGAUUGGAC